AUUGAACGCUGGCGGCAGGCCUAACACAUGCAAGUCGAACGAGUGGCGGACGGGUGUGUAAUGUCUGGGAAACUGCCCGAUGGAGGGGGAUAACUACUGGAAACGGUAGCUAAUACCGCAUACCAUCGGAUGUUCCCAGCUGGGAUUAGCUAGUAGGUGGGGUAACGGCUCACCUAGGCGACGAUCCCUAGCUGGUCUGCGGGGAUGACCAGACAAACUGGAACUGAGACACGGUCCAGCAUCCUACGGGAGGAAGCAGUGGGGAAGAUGGCACAAUGGGCGCAAGCCUGAUGCAGCCAUGCCGCGUGUAUGAAGAAGGCCUUCGGGUUGUAAAGUACUUUCAGCGAGGAGGCGUUACUCGCAGAAGAAGCACCGGCUAACUCCGUGCCAGCAGCCGCGGUAAUAC
rnacentral:rRNA from 1 species